UGUCAAGUUCUGAUUCGAACAUUUGUUGUCGGUGUCUGAUAGGAAGGUAUGCUGGGGCGGCUCAUUCCAGUCACACAAGCAAGAGCAUACACCCAGAGAGAGAGAGAGAGAGAAAAGAAACUACUACAAGUCAAAUGUACAGUUAAAAAGAGCCUACCUCUCAUGGGAUUCUGGAUCCAUAAGAUACCUCCAAUAAGCCGAGAGGAUUCGCAUGUUAGACCACCUGCUGCAGGAUGAGCUGGACUGACUAGUUUGAGAGAAAUGCGGUGGACGGAGAGAGACAUCACAUGACAAACAAAUUGGAAGUGGAUGAUCCGAAGGAGAUGAUUGUGCAAAACAAAGCCCACUCUGUUAGUUCUGCAGACCUGUGUCGUGGGGCUGUCACUCUGCAAAAGCAUCACGCGCACAAUGGGAAACAAUGGAAAAUGCGCGUGCACGCGAGAAAUGCUGUCUGCAAGUGAUGUGUGCUGUCAUGAGAUUACCGGCACAGUGAUGCGGAAAAGAAAAAAAAAAAAGGCUUGCAAAGCAUUACCCAAUCACGAGCUUUCACACUUGACCCGUUCUAAGUCUGGGCACGCACCGAAGCCUUUAACUAUUUCCUUUUUUAAAUUUAUUUGCCCCCCCCCCCACACAAGCAAAUAUAAUGCCACCUUACCUUCGACGGCCAUGACGUCACUCCAGAGAUGAGGGCAUCACUGGCAAAGGAGAUGGAGAAAAUUGGAAAGUCAACGCUUUCUCUUUCUACCUUGUUCUGCCGUGUUAUCAUUUCAUUGCUGCGGGCAAAGCAGAGUGCGGAGCUGCUGCCGCACCUCAAAGCAUUAUGGGGAAUGUAGUCAUACACUGGCUGAAUUUUCAAUGAGUCACUCAUUCCCUAUUUAAAUAGGGAUUUGUAUACAAUAGAAUCCAAUUAAAUAUUCUUUUAAAUUGGAUGUUGUAUAGAAAAUUCUGUCUUCUUUUUCUUCUUUUAUUCUUCUUCCAUUGUUAUUUAAUUUACCAGGUUGGCGUGCAAGAUUAUAAAUGCCGCAUCAAUAUAUUCUGUGUAAUGCUGAUUCUCUUGACAUCUAAAGAAAAUGUUGCCAAGUAUAAAGACAGCAAAAUAAACGACAGCAAAACAUGAUUUUAUUGCAAUGAAAUGCAAAUUCCACAAAUCAAAUUUACCAAUCAGUGACACCUUGAGGAAAAAAUAGCAUUCAUACAACCUUUUUUGUCAAUAAAGUGACGCCGUUGCUUGCCCUUUUGUUUCCAUAUUUAUUUUAUCUCAUAUUCUUUCAUGCUUAGCCAGUACAGAGACAAGUGCUGCAUAUAUAUAAAAAAAAAAAUCAAAAUAAGAAAGAAAUUUAUAGGCUAGCUGUUAUAAUUCUGACAGGGACAAGGUCCAAUUAAGUCUCAGAAAUCACAUUUAAACUGAUUAAUCCAGUUAAGAGUAAAAAAAAAAAAAAAAAAAAGCCCAUAAUCUACCUAUUAAUUUUUCAAGAACCAAGCUGAGAGAAG